GCGGGUGUGGCGAAACUGGCAGACGCGCUAGACUUAGGAUCUAGUUCCUAGGAGUGCAGGUUCGACUCCUGUCACCCGCACCA
rnacentral:tRNA from 1 species